GACGAACGCUGGCGGCGCGCCUAACACAUGCAAGUCGAACGAGCGAGAGAGAGCUUGCUUUCUCAAGCGAGUGGCGAACGGGUGAGUAACGCGUGAGGAACCUGCCUCAAAGAGGGGACGAACAGUUGGAACGACUGCUAAUACCGCAUAAGCGCACGGUAUCGCAUGAUACAGUGUGAAAACUACCGGUGGUAUAAGAUGGACCGCGUCUGAUUAGCUUGUUGGUGAGGUAACGGCCCGACCCAAGGCGACGAUCAGUAGCCGGCCUGAGAGGGUGGAUCGGCCACAUUGGGACUGAGACACGGCCCAAACUCCUACGGGAGGCAGCAGUGGGGGAAUAUUGCACAAU
rnacentral:rRNA from 1 species